UAGGGCUGGCGGUGACGGGGAGACAGGUGGCUGGAAGGCUGUGAAACGCCGCGGGGGCCCGGCCCAUCUGGGCAGGAACUGGCGGUGGCUGCGGAGCACACGUGCGAGCUGCGAGCCUGGCGGGGCCGCCCCCCUGCGCGCCCCCCGAGGCGGUGGCCGCGGGCCAGGCCGCCCGCUGACACCGUGUUCCCUCGCUCGGAGCAUCACGCACACGCGGCGGCCCGGCCUCCGCCGGGAGGGGACUCGAGGGGAGGGUGGCAUCAACCGGGAAAGAGCAAAGGGGCAAACACCCCACCCCCGCCCGCGCGCGCGCACAGGCGGAAACCGAAACGUGACCCAGGGAGAGCCCGGCGGUUCCAAGGUCCAGGGGCGUGCGUGCAGCCUGGACGCAGAGGAAGCCCCCAGCCCCGGCGCGGCCGGGAGGCCCGUUCGCCAGCGACGACCAGCCGCUCCGGAGACCAGGUGGCACGCCCCGGGCUGCCCUCGCCAGGGGUCCGCGCGCCAGGGCAGACUCAGAGGGGCUCACUCAGCGCCUGGAUCUCCAUCCCCCCAGCUGCCCUCCUACGGGCCACCUUAGGCUGUCACUGAGACCCGUAAUAACACCCGUGACCACAGACGAACAUGGUGUGCCAACAACCGUCUGGACUCUUGUCUCCUUCCAGACACCAUCCUUUUGUCAACACAGCCCAAUAGGACUUGGCUUUCCCGGCAUCCACAUGAACCUAAGUUUCCAGUAGAGGUGUUCUUGGCUGUCAUGUUUUUAUGUGGUUAUUGUUGUUCAUUGAACGCAAGUUACUAAGCCAAUCUCCCUCCCUGAACCUGUGAGGUCGACUUUUCAAAGGUGUUCAAAGAUAG